GAGUUUGAUCAUGGCUCAGAGUGAACGCUGGCGGCAGGCCUAACACAUGCAAGUCGAACGGCAGCACAGAGGAGCUUGCUCCUUGGGUGGCGAGUGGCGGACGGGUGAGGAAUGCAUCGGAAUCUGCCUAUUUGUGGGGGAUAACGUAGGGAAACUUACGCUAAUACCGCAUACGUCCUACGGGAGAAAGUGGGGGACCUUCGGGCCUCACGCAGAUAGAUGAGCCGAUGCCGGAUUAGCUAGUUGGCGGGGUAAAGGCCCACCAAGGCGACGAUCCGUAGCUGGUCUGAGAGGAUGAUCAGCCACACUGGAACUGAGACACGGUCCAGACUCCUACGGGAGGCAGCAGUGGGGAAUAUUGGACAAUGGGCGCAAGCCUGAUCCAGCCAUGCCGCGUGUGUGAAGAAGGCC
rnacentral:rRNA from 1 species